UACGAAGGGGGCUAGCGUUGUUCGGAAUCACUGGGCGUAAAGGGCGCGUAGGCGGCUUUGUAAGUCGGGCGUGAAAGCCUGUGGCUCAACCACAGAAUUGCCUUCGAUACUGCAUGGCUUGAGACCGGAAGAGGUUAGUGGAACUGCGAGUGUAGAGGUGAAAUUCGUAGAUAUUCGCAAGAACACCAGUGGCGAAGGCGGCUGACUGGUCCGGUUCUGACGCUGAGGCGCGAAAGCGUGGGGAGCAAACAGG
rnacentral:rRNA from 1 species